AACUAUUGCUGUAAAAUUUGAAUCUAAAAACAGCAACGAUAAAUGAGAAUAAAAAAUGUACAAACAAGUCUACAACAUAAGCCUCAAGGUCCAGAAGAGUUGAUAAUUACACAAUGGAUUAUUAUCUUGCUCUUAUGGAACUCCUUGGCAGGUUCUACUGCCACUCUCAGUGAAACCCUCUAUAAUCAGAUACAAGGAAACAGGUAUGUGCAGCCUAUAGCUAUGGAGAAUGAGGCUUGGCGCUUUUUGCUCCCCCAUAGAAUAUAGACCUUUAUCUGGUUGGCUAACCUUUUGGCUAAACAAGGUUCAACGAUAUCAUUUGUCGUUUCUUUGCCAUGGGAAGGACUCCUAAUGGAGGACUUCCUUAGAAGAGAUGUGAAGGUGGCUGAUGCAGUGCUACAAACUUAAAGGCCAGUGCUUAGGCUUUCAUGUUUUUCGGCCUAGUUUGUUGCAUGGCAAAAUUUGGAUAUUAUAGGGCUUUCACUGCUAUUUGUGAAGUUGGAUCACAAUAGUGAUUUUGACAUCUGAGCCAAAAGUUAUGCCUGCACAACAAAGUCAGGGUAUGUUAUCAGGGUUAUUUUUAGGACGAGUUUGUUUUCAAUUCAUUAUGUCAAGGGAAAACAUGUUAAGUUUGAGUAAUUUUAAUUAGGAGCUCUAAUUACAUUAGAAUCAGGAUUAUAAAGUCUUAAAAAGGACGAGUUUGUUUCAAUUCAUUUUGUAGAGGGAAAAAAUGUCAAGUUCGAGUCUAAUUUUAAUUAGGAGUUCUAAUUACAUUAGAAUCAGGAUUAUAAAGUCUAAAUAAAAUCAAUGUAAAGGGGUUAAGUCAGGUUUUUGGUUAUUGUUAGCUUCUUUUAAUUUUGAAUUAAUUCAUUUAUUUUUCUUUUGAAAUCUUCAUUUUUCUUUUUUUUGGUACGAAUCUGCAUCAGUGGCCCUCCAAGGGGAUAUCAGAGUGCGGUUCUCCCCUUCCCCUCCAUCUCUCGCUCUCUCUCUCCACUCAGUCUCUAAGGUGUCCUUUUGUCAUUUAUUUCAUUCUCUUUCUUAGGGCCCAUUUGGUUCUUUGGAAAUGGGUCUUCCAAAGACCUAUUUCCAUGGAAACGGCUUGUUUGGAUGCCCUCCUUGGGUGGGAGUUCGAUCUCUAUGCAGAGACUAAUUUCCAUGUUGCAAGUCUAUUUUUUAAAAAUUUCAAUUCCAGCAAAAUAGGUGGAAUUGAAAGAGAGUCACGGGCCCGAAAAUUUCAAUUAGACUAAAACUAACUGCGUGCUCUUUUGCCCGUUCAUAGAGCUUGACCCUCUCAAGCAUGGAGCCAAAGGAGAAGGGCACGCCACCUUUACUGAAUAAGAGUUCAUGCUCAUAAGUGGCAUUCUUGAGGAUGAUGCCAAUCUUUGCAUGAUCAAAGAUUGUACAUUAGGUGACCCACAAAGCACUGCUUCUAAACUGAUCGAUGAAACUGGAGGAUGGUUCACCAUUGUUUCGCUUCAUUGAAGUUAGUUUUCCUAAUGAGAUGGGUCGAGGCUUACUCCUACGUAGUAAGUUUUGAACCUACGAAGGAGCAAGUUUGUAGUUGCUUGUGGGUUUCCCCUCAUAAACUCUUGUUGCCAGAUUAGGGUGAUUGGGUAGGCCAGACAAAGCCAUUCCUGAGGAACCGGUAACCAGUAUAUGAGAUUCUGGGUUGCCCUUCCUAGAGAAAUGUUUUCUAAACUCUAUGAGGACAAAUCCAAUUAGGAGAUCUUCUAAGUCUCUGAGGGUCUCUUGAGUUUGAGCUUUUAGAGGUAAGAAGUUGUGGAUCCUCAUCCUCACACAUCUUGAAGGACUUGUUAGCUAACCAAGUGGUCGAUACUAGAGUAACUUGAUUGGACGGUUGGUUGCCUAAUGUGGACCAAUGUGUUUCAGCUUGGGGAAUAACUUGGAGUGGCUAGACAUGUAGUUAGUAGGUCUAAGCCAUUGGGCUGGUUUGGUAAGGUUGCCCCAGAAGUUGAACUUGGGGGUAACUGACUGGAUCAGGAAGACUAGUUGUUGGUCAAUAGGAUUACUGAGGUGGAUGGAUUGAGCCUGGAUGAGCCAACAAAUUCACAUUUGGAUGGUAGAAUCUUGACUCACUAAGUCUAGUAAGAGAACUUGCAAGAUAGGGUCCUCGUAGAUGGAUGUUUGAGAUCGACCCCCAGGAUUUCUAUGGUGGCUGUAGGCUCUAUUUCACGGUCUAGACCAUUGUGGUAGAUCUUGGUUUAGUGGGUGUAGAUUUCUUGGGAGUAAAAGCCAAUGGCCAGAACUGGAUUCCUGCAAGGUUCUCUACUCCUAGUGGGCAGUUUUUGAUUCAAAUGACUAACUAGUGGUGGAAGUGAUAAUCUCCUUAGGCUUGAGUGCCGAUGACCAGAUAUGGAUCCCCGACUAGGUGCCCUACUUCUAGCAGGUGAUCUUUGGUUCAAAUGAUUGGACAGUAUGUGGCAAUUGGGGUUAACCUAGUUUGGCUCAGCUGGCGCAAUGUUAUUGAAGGUUUGUACUUGUGGCCUUGACCAUGCCCACUAGAUUGAAGGUUAAUUUUCAUGUCUUGGUCUAAUCCUCAGAGUAUUUUCUACAAACUUGGUGGUUUGUGGUUUGGAAACUUGGUGGUCUGCGGUUCCUAGAUGGUGGUUAUGAGAACUAUCGAGUUGGAAACCGGGACUUCUAACUACGGUCCCAUAUAAACUAUGACUAGGCUCACCCACUAGAAUGUUAUAGGUUCGAGGAGCAUUCUUAUGAUGCCUCUUGGACUAAUGGCUUGAUAUUCUUGACCUAGACCGGAAAGGACAUGAGGACAAGGGAUCAGCAUCAACACCACACCUCGCCCUAGCUCGGUCUUGGGACUUUAUGCUAGCAAGUCUAACAACAGAGAGGUAGGCAAACACCACUAAAACAGGUAUGAAAAUUUGCCUUAAGUUACUAUGAAUAAGGUUCAAGGUGGGAUUCCUAACUAAGAGAAAGCUUCAAUGCGGUUAGCCCACGUAAUUCCCGAGCCACCCAUAUGGGUUUUGCUAUGGGUCUAAUAUGUGUGGUUUUAGGGCAAUGAAUACCAGAAAGGUGCUCACAGUUAAAGCGGCACAACUCCCAACUAUUUGGACUCCUAAAAGCUAGGUGUCCCUCUCAGGUUAAUGCCGAGUUUGACAAUCUUUGAAAAAUUUGAAGCGGUUUUUUUGCUGUGUAUGUAAAAAGGUGCGGAAAAGAAUAAACGUGCACGUGUAUGUGAAAGUUGUGGCAAACACACAAUAGAACAAGAAAAUAUAGCUAGCAAAUAUAUUGUGUAAACAAAAUAUUGUAAGCAUUGAUAAACAAAGAAAAGUACUAAAAACACAUACACAAAUAUAUAUUAUUUUCUAUAAUGCUCUACUUUUCUAUUUCUGGUACUGAAACAACAUAACAGAAAGGUUUUUUUGCAUAAAAAAAUCAAACAAGAAAGAAACUAGGACUGCCGAACACUAAGGAGGGUAGAUCUGUUCCACGACAUUGGUGCACAUCAGUGACCCCAGUGAUGUGCAGCGUGUUGCUGAAGGCAACUAACUUUCUCUCGAAUCAUCUGCUUCUUGUUAUCCAAACAGCUUUGAGUUGUGAUUCUCAAUUUUGUUUUCAACUAUUUUUAUGCAGUUUCAAACUGGUAUUGAAUGAAAUCAUCUCUAAUUUAUGUUUUAAACUAAAUCAAUUAAAAUUUAGUAGAGAAAGUGAGUCCCAUCAAAUCUCAAAUCAAAAGAGGUUGGCCUCAUGGCUUCUCCCUUAUGAUCCGUAGGCCAUGCCGGUUUGAAAUUGUGCAAAACCAAAAGAAACUUAAGAAACAUUAAAGAAAUCAUAAGAAAAUAGUCUUUAGUGAAGUUUAAAAAAACUAUAAAAUCAGGAAGAAGGAAGAAAAAAAUAACUUACUUGGCAAGCCCAGCCGCCACUCCCUUACAUCUGGAGGAGGUGGCCCUAAUUAGACUUUGUGGUUAUGAGAUCUUUCUCCUUGACCCUCAAAUUUUUACUUCAACCAAAGAAUUUCUUGGUCUUCAAAAGAGUUUAACCUAGAAAGUUUCCUAGGAUUUUGCUUGAAUUAAGAGGUUUAGGGUUUUUUGUGCCUUAAGGUUUAGUUUUCGAAUUUCUUAUGAAGCUUCAAUGGUUGCUGAAAAUUGGGGUUUAAUUUCAGGGCUUGUGUCUCUG
rnacentral:lncRNA from 1 species